rnacentral:rRNA from 1 species
AGUGAACGCUGGCGGUAGGCCUAACACAUGCCAGUCGAACGGCAGCACAGUAAGAGCUUGCUCUUACGGGUGGCGAGUGGCGGACGGGUGAGGAAUACAUCGGAAUCUACUUUUUCGUGGGGGAUAACGUAGGUAAACUUACUCUAAUACCGCAUACGACCUACGGGUGAAAGCAGGGGAUCUUCGGACCUUGCGCGAUUGAAUGAGCCGAUGUCGGAUUAGCUAGUUGGCGGGGUAAAGGCCCACCAAGGCGACGAUCCGUAGCUGGUCUGAGAGGAGGAUAAGCCACACUGGAAGGGAGACAGGGUCAAGACUCCUAAGGGAGGGAGCAGUGGGGAAUAUUGGACAGUGGGGGCGAGCAUGAUACAGCCAUACCGCGUGGGUGAAGAAGGCCUCGGGGUUGUAAAGACGUUUUGUUGGGAAAGAAAAGCAGCAGGUUAAUACGCCGCUGUUGUGACGGUAACCAAAGAAUAAGCACCGGCUAACUUCGUG